rnacentral:RNase_P_RNA from 1 species
UAAGCAGGCUAGGUAGUCGCGGGCGGCAUUGAGCUGCCUGAGGAAAGUCCGGGCUCCACAGGGCAGGGCGCUGGGUAACGCCCAGCGAGGGUGACCUCAGGGAAAGUGCCACAGAAACAUACCGCCUUUGAUACAGGCUGUUUUCGUCACCGGAGACAUGCCCAGCCUCCUGGUGGCCAACGAAAGGCCAGUAUCAAAGGUAAGGGUGAAAAGGUAGUGUAAGAGACUACCGGCAGCCGGGUGACCGGCUGGCCAGGCAAACCCCGUCCGGAGCAAGACCAAAUAGGGGGGCGAUGACGCGGCCCGUAGAGCCCCCGGGUAUGGUCGCUUGAGGGAAAAGGCAACUUUUCUCCCAGAUAGAUGACUACCCGUGACAGAACCCGGCUUAUAGGCCUGCUUACCGC